ACUGGGUGUGGUGGUGUGUGCCUGUUGUCCUAGCUACUUGGGAGGCUGAGACAGGAGGAUCUUCUGAGCCCAGGAGGUCUGGGCUGUAAAGCAGUAUGUCAAUUGGGUGUCCACACUAAGUUCAGCAUCAGUAUGAUGACCUCUUCGAAGCAAGGACCACCAUGUUGCCUAAGGAGGGGUGAACUGGCCCAGGUUGGAAACAGAGUAGGUCAAAACUCCCAUGCUGAUCAGUAGUGGGAUAGAGCCUGUGAAUAGCCGCUACACUCUGGCCUGGGCAAUGAAAAAAAUAUGUAUAU
rnacentral:SRP_RNA from 1 species